AUCCCAUUCCGAUUAAUCCCUAUGUUGUACCUCACCGCCCGACUAGCGCCUAGCGCCUUCUACAACAUUGGCUAGGAGUCUACACAGGGACAUUGUGACACAUUGGAUUCCUCGAGAGCUUGGCAUAUUGAAACAUCGUAUCGACCAAGCAAACGAGAAAAGAUGGAGAAAAGAAUAUCCUUUUUUAGUAAUUGAUGGAACUUACUCUAUACUAAUCUAAAUUUAGGGGUGUUCACAGCUCAGUUCAGCUGGUUUUGACAAAAUUUCUCGGCAGAACCUCUAUGUAUGAUGUCACAAUAUUGCAAACCCAUCCGGAAUCAUUCGGUUACGCUGUUUGGACAGAUUGAACCGGUUGUUAUAUUUAUAUUUUUCAAAUUUGUUUGUAUUAAAUUCUUAAAAAUUAUUGAAAUAGUUCAUGAACAUACGAAAUGGCGAUGAAACUGGAGAAUUUUUUUGGUUCCCUGGAGCAGCUAGAAAAGUCAAGAAAACCAUCUAUUGUCAAAAGUCCAAGUCAAUUGUUUGACUUUAGUAAAGAAAAGUCAAGCAUGGAUAAUAUGAGCAAGGUGGAUGUUGAAGACAUUGAAAGCUCUCAGUGGUUUGUUACAUGGCCGAGGGGUGAAAAGGUGGGGCCUGUGUCGUUAUCGGUGCUCAAGAACUGUAGUCAGACCCAAGCUACAUCAAAAUCUAUGAUUUAUAAGAUAAGUGAAAGCAAAGAACAGGCCAAGCCACUGACUGCUGUGCUGAAUCUUGCUUUUUCUAAAAAAUGAUCAUGUUUUCAGGUGUUCUUUUGAAACUUAAGUUUUGACUUUGCUAAAGUCAAAGUAGUAUGUGCAGUUUAUGAGUCUGUUUUUAGUGGUGGUAUUAUAUAAGAGCAAGAGACUAGAGGUUUUGGAAACAUGUUGUUCAUAGUCUAAGAACAGGUAAGACUGGU